UACGAAGGGGGCUAGCGUUGUUCGGAUUUACUGGGCGUAAAGCGCACGUAGGCGGAUUGUUAAGUCGGGGGUGAAAUCCUGGAGCUCAACUCCAGAAUUGCCUUCGAUACUGGCUUUCUAGAGGCUGGAAGAGGUUAGUGGAAUUCCCAGUGUAGAGGUGAAAUUCGUAGAUAUUGGGAAGAACACCAGCGGCGAAGGCGGCUAACUGGUCCAGAUCUGACGCUGAGGUGCGAAAGCGUGGGGAGCAAACAGG
rnacentral:rRNA from 1 species